CCGCACCGAACAUUCCCCCCCCACCACCACCACCGGCCCGGAGCAGAAGGACCGAGGAGCCCCUCCCCGGAGAUAAGAGAGGCGGCAGUUCUCUUGCAGCAGCGUCUCACCCCGGGGAGGAGGGCAGAGGACUGCAAGAAACACACCAAGUUCCCGAGGAACUCAACAGGUCAAGCAGCAUCUAUGGAGAGGAAUGCUGACGUUUCAGGCCAAGAUCUGCAAGUUAACCUGCUCACUUUCUCAUUCUGCUGAACGGUCAGCUAAACCUUGAAUCUUGCACUCCUCGUUAGUAAGACCAACAAAUUGAUUGUGGACUUCAAGAAGGGUAAGUUGAGGGGGCACACAUCAAUCCUCAUUGAGGGAUCAGCAGUGGAAAGAGUGAGCAGUUUCAAGUUCCUGGGUGUCAACACCUGUGAGGAUUUGCCCUGCUCUAACAUAUUGAUGCAAUUAUAUAGAAGGCACACCAGUGGCUAUGUUUCAAUCCAAGUCAACCAAAGAUGUACCAUGGAAAGCAUUCUAACUGCUUGCAUCACCGUCUGCUAUGUAGGGGCCACUGCACAGGAUAGGAAAGAGCUGCAGAAAGUUGUAAACUCAGCCAGCUCCAUCAUGGUACUAGCCUCCCCAAUAUCAAGGACACCAGCAAAAGACAAUGCCCCUAAAAGUUGGCAUCCAUUAUUAAAGAACCCCAUCACCCAGGAUAUGGCCACUUCUCACUGCUACCAUCAAGGAGGAUGUACGAGAGCCUGAAGACCACACUCAACAUUUCUGGAACAGCCUUUUUCCCUCCACCAUCAGAUCUCUGAAUGGUCAAUGAACCCAUGAACACUACCUCGGGAUUUUUUCUUCUCUUUUAGCUCUACAUAUUUAAUUUAAUUUUUUAUAUACACUUGUUGCAAUUUAUGGGCCAGCCAGUGGUGCAGUGGCAUCAGCAAGGGGGAUGGUCCUGAUUUUGAAUCCAGCUAAGGCCCAGCCUGGGCAGCAGCAGUAUCUAUAUGGAGAAAGGCCUGCCAAUCUGCUUCUGUAUCUUCCCAAGAAAACCUUAUGGACCACUACACUAUCCAUAGAGUCGCCUUAAGUCAAAAGCCCUCAACAACAACAACAUUAUGCUACCUGACCUGCUGAGUCCCUUCCCUCAAUCUCUGUCCAACACGGGGAGGUUCAUCCACUUUGGACCCAAGAUAGAUAAGUUCAUUUUUAAAACAUUGAGAGAGUUUAAGAAGUGUGGGGAGGAAAGGAAAAUUUUGUCCAGCUGGUCAUGUCAACAAAAGUUAGAAAAGAGGUGUUGAAAGAAGUUAAAAUGAUCGUGGGACUUUAGUGUCUGGUUUAAGGGAAUUAAAAAGUGAAGAAAUGUUCCCUCAUUUGUUCUAUACCAGGAGGAGAUUCCACUUGGUUCCAAGCAGUUUACAUUUGCCUUCUUAAUUACUUUGAGGUAGGAGGCCAUUUGAGUUUGAUCUUGUUCCAAGGAGACCAAUAACACCAACUCCAUUCUCCCCUCCCCAUUUCUGUGUCACUCUGCAACUUACCUCCCUCACCUGCCCACCAACUCUUCUCAGAAUAUUUUUGCCCCACAUCUACACCCUGGGUUUGUUUGUUCUGGUAGCAUAGUGGUUAGGGCAAUUACUUUGCUCCACCAAUGAUCACCAGUUGGGGGUUCGAUUCCCGCUGCUGUCUGUAAGGAGUUUGUAUGUUCUCUCCAUGACCACAUGGGUCUCUUCCAGGUGCUUCAGUUUGCUCUCACAUUCCAUAGAUGUUCAAGUUAGGCUUAGUAAGUUGUUGGCAUGCUAGGUUGGCGCUGAAAGCGUGGCAACACUUGAAGCUGCCCACAGAGCAUCCUUGGGCCCUGUUGGUUGUUAACUUUAAAUGACAUAUUCACUGUAUGUUUUGACGUUUUACUGUAGAUGUGACAAAUCUUUUGAACUAUUUUGUUUUCCAGUACAUCUUUGGUCCGUGGCCAUUGCUGGCUUGGGUUCAGCAACUCAAAAGUUAGAAUCAGUAUCAGGUUUACUAUUGCAAAAACGAAAAAUCUACAGAUGGUGAAAAUCCAGAGCAACACACACAAAAUGCUGGAGGAACUCAGCAGGCCAGGCAGCAUCUGUGGAAAAGAGUAAACAGUCAACGUUUUGGGGUGAGACCCCUCAUCAGGACUGGAAAGGAAGUCAGAGUAAGAAACUGUGAGGAGGGAGGAGGAAGUACAAGGUUGGUAGGUGAUAGGUGAAAGAGACAAAGGGCUGGAGAAGGGGCAAUCUGAUAGGUGAGGGCAGAAAACCAUGAAAGAAAGGGAAGGGGGAGAAGCACCAGAGAGAGGUAUCAGGGUCAGUUUUAUUAUUGCUGACCUACGUAUGUCAUUAAAUCUGUUGUUUUGCAGUAGCAGCAGAGUACAUUAAAAUUACUAUGUUACAAUAAGAAAUGUAUAAAAAGUAAAUGCUUAGUGCAAAGAGAGACCAAGCAGUGAGGUGGUUUUCAUGGCCAGUUGAUGGUGGAGGUGAAAAAGUUGUCAAUAAAUCGCAGUGGCAGAUGACAAGAUACUAUUUGUGCUCUUUCCAGUGUAGAGGUCAGCCCUACUCGACAUUUGCUUUUACCCUGACUACUGCGCCUACACUCUCCUGUCGCUGAAGCCUCUCAUAUAUUGAAAGGCCUAGAUAGAGUGGAUGUGGAGAGGAAGUUUCCAAUAAUAAGGGAGUCUAAGACUAGAGGGUACAGCCUCAGAACAGUAAGAUGUCCCAUUAGAACAGAGAUGAGGAUGAAUUUCUUUAGCCAGAAGGUGGUGAAUCUGAGGAAUUCAUUACCAUAGAUGGCUGUGAAGCCAAGUCAAUGGGUAGAUUUAAAGCGGAGUUUCAUAAGUUCUUGGUUGGUAAGGGUGUCAAAGGUUAUGGGGAGAAGGUAGGAGAAUGGAGUCAAGAUGGAUAAUAAGUCAGCCAUGAUGAAAUGCUGGAUCAGAUCUGAUGGGCCGAAUGGCCUAAUUCUGCUCCUAUGCCUAUGGUCUCCGCCUCUCCUUCAUUUGUGAAUUAACUAGUUAAUUCUUGUUAUCAAAUCCAACAACUGAAAAUAGAUUGCUUAUGGAACUCACAAACACUUGGCCUGAUCUCAAUGCCUGGGCAUCACAAGUAAACUCAAAUCACCUUUCCCUUUGAGAGGGCAAUGGUGUGUCUGCAGAAUGUCAUUCACUCAGCCGUGUGGCUUCUAUUGCAGAUCAGAUGCCAACGAGGGCCAAACCUAUACUGAGAAUGUCCAAGAGGACUAAUUUCCUAAUGAGAAUUGAAUCCACUUCUAAAGUAUGUUGCUGGCUUCAAAGCAUUUUAUUUAUUCAGAGAUAUGGCAUGUAAACAGGCCCUUCCGACUCAAUGAGCCCACGUCACCCAGUUACGCCCAUGUGACCAAUUAACCUCUUCAGAAAGUGGAAGGAAAUACGCAUGGCCAGAGGUUAGAAUGUAUAAUCUCCUUGCAAACAGCAGCAGAAGUGAACCCAGAUUAAUCAGCCCUUCAACCAUCAGACACCUCAGCUGGUGUAGAAAUUUCACUUGCUUCAACACUGAACUGAUUCCACAAUCUAUGGGCUCACUUCUAAGGACUCUACAAUAUUACUUAUUUAUUUGGUUCUUUGUUUUUGUAUUGUUUUUGCAUUUGAAAAUUUGUAUACUUUUGUACAUUGGUUGUUUGUCAGUCUUUAUGUGGAGUUUUUCAUUGAUUCUAAUAUAUUUCUUUGUUCGACUGUGAAUGCCUGUAAGAAAAUUAAUCUCAGGGUAGUAUAUGUACUUUGAUAAUUUACUUUUAACUUUGAACUUUUAAUGAGCCCGCACUGCCCAAUUACACCCAUGACACCAACUAAACUUCUAACCAAUAAGUCUUUUGGAAUGUGGGAGGAAACCAGAGCACCCAGAAGAAACCCAUGUGGUCCUGCUAUAAUGCCACGCCAUCAGGACAUUGUGAAGAGGAUGCAAGAGGUGUUAGACGAAUUGAACCUCAUUUCUAUAGUCUUGGGAACUUGGGCAAUCUCACAGCCUCUUCUGAAUUUGAGAUUCUAAACUGGAGGAAGGCCAAUUUUGAUGGUAUCAGAAAGGAUCUGGCAAGUGUGGACUGAGACAGCCUGUUUUCUGGCAAAGAUGUACUUAGUAAGUGAAAUUUGGAGAUUACAAAGUUUAUAUGUAAUACAAGAUAAAGAUACCAGAUUUAGCGAACCCUGGUUUUCAAAAGGUUUUGAGGCCCUGGUUAAGAAAAAAAGGAGGUAUAGGCAGGUAGGAACACAUGAGUUGCUUAGGGAGUAUAAGAAAUGCAAGAGAACACUUAAGAAAGAAAUCGGGAGGGCUAUCAGAAGGCAUGAGGUCGCUCUAGCAGACAAGGUGAAGGAGGAUCCUCAGGGAUUCUACAGAUCUGUUAAGAGCAAAAGGAUUGCAAGGUCCUCUGGAAGAUCAAAAUGGUAAUCCAUGCAUGAAGCCAAAAGAGAUUUGGGAGAUUUUAAAUGGAAUUCCUACAUCUGCAUUUACUCGGGAGAUGGACACAGAGUCUAUAGAAGUGAGGCAAAGCAGCAGCAAGGUCAUGGACCCUGUACAGAUUACAGAGGAGGAGGUGUUUACUAUCUUGAGGUAAAUCAGGGUGGAUAAAUCCCCAGGGUCUGACAAGGUGUUCCCUUGGACCCUGUGGGAGACAAGUGCAGAAAUUACAGGAGCCCUAGUAGAGAUAUUUAAAUGAUCCUUGGUGACAGGUGAGGUACAAAAAGAUCGGAGGAUAUCUAAAGUUGUUCCACUGUUUAGAAAGGUGCUAAAAAUAAACCAGGAAGUUACAGGCCAGUAUGCCUAACAUUAGUAGUGGGAAUGUUAUUGGAAGGUAUUCUGAGGGACCGGAUAUAUGAGUAUUUGGAUAGACUGGGACUGAUUUGGGAUAAUCAGCAUGGCUUUGUGCAUGGUAGAUCAUGUCUAACAAAUUUUAUAGAGUUUCUUGAGAAAGUUACCAGGAAAGUUGAUGACAAGGGAGUGGAUAUUGUCCAUAUGGACAUUAGCAAGGUCUAAGACAAGGACCCGCUUGGGAUGUUGAACAGAAAGUUUCAGUUGCUUGGCAUUCAAGAAGACGUAGUAAAUUGGAUUAGACAUUGGCUUUGUGGGAGAAGCCAUGAAGAAUGGUAGUAGAUGGUUGCUUCUGACUGGAGCCUGUGUUAGUAGGGUUCCGCAGUUUUGGUCACCUCCACUCAGGAAAGAUGUAAAUAAGAUUGAAAGAGUGCAGAGAAAAUUUACAAGGAUGUUGCCAGGUCUGGAGGACCUGAGUUAUAAGGAAAGAGUGAAUAGAUUAGGAUUUUAUUCCUUGGAACAUAGAAGAUUGAGGGGAGAUUUGAUAGAAGUGUACAAAAUUAUGAGGGAUAUAGAUAGGGUAAAUGCAAGUAGGCUUUUUCCACUGAGGUUGGGUGGUGUGACAACUGGAGGUCGUGGGUUAAGGGUGAAAGGUGAAAUAUUUAAGGGGAACAUGAAUGGAAACUUCUCUCAGAGAGCUGUGAGUGUGGAACAAGCUGCCAGUGCAAGUGGUGCAAGCAAGUUCGAUUUCAACAUUUAAUAGUUUGGAUAGGUAUGUGGAUGGUAGGGAUGUGGAGGUCCGGGUGCAGGUUGAUGGGAGUAGGCAGUUUAAGUGGUUUAGCACGGACUAGAUGAGUCAAAGGGCCUGUUUCUGUGCUGUACUUUUCUAUGACUCUGUAACUCUUUAGAGAGAGGAGGAAGAGGACAGCCAUGCUCUGUGCUAGUAUCUGAUUUCCUACAUUUAAGUAAAGAUACAUAUUUCCAAAAUUAGAUAUUUGGUAUAGUGAUGUUAAUUUUACUCCAGAAUACUGUGUUAAUAUUUAAAAUUAGAAAUCUAAUUUAAUACUUUUUUUCUUAUCUUUGAAUCUGCAAUGUCGAGAGGCAAAUGCAAGCCAAGCAUUCAAUUUUAUGAAAAGAUGAAAGAGAAAUUUUUCAUGGAUUAGCUUUAUUUGUCACAUAUUCAUGAAACACAGUGAAAUGCACUGUAUUUCCUUUAAAAUUCCUCAGCAAGAGGAAAGACAGCUGUCACUUUUCCAACACAACAACAUAUUCAGCUUCAUAAUGAAGGGUCUCAGCUAGUAACGUCACCUGUUUUACCAUUGAAGGAAGUUGUAACCUCCCCAGCACCAAGGACACCCCAGAGGACCCCCAUCACCCAGGACAUGCCCUCUUCUCAUUGCUACCAUCAAGGAGGAGGUACAGAGGCCUGACACACCCAACAUUUCAGAAACAGCCUCCUCCUCUCCGCCAUCAAGUUUCUGAAUGGACAACCCAUGAACACAACCUCACUAUUUUUUCAUCUCUUUAUGCACUAUUAUUUAUUAUAAUUUUUUAAACCAUAUAUACUUACCAUAAUUUAAAGUUGUUUUAUUAUUAUGUAUUGCAGUGUACUGCUACUGCAAAACAACAAAUUUCAGGACGUAUGUCAGUGAUAUUACCUCCUACUCCAUGUGAGCAAAACCAAGGAGCUGAUUAUUGACUUCAGGAGAGGGAAACCAGAGGUCUAUGAGCCAGUCCUCAUCGGGGGAUCAGAGGUGGAGAGAGUCAGCAAGUUAAAUUCCUCUGUGUUAUUAUUUCAGAGGUCCUGACCUGGGCCCAGCAAGUAUAUAUGUAGACUUUUGCAAAUAAAGUGGUGAGGGGUUUUAUAUAUGAUGAAACUGUAACACAUUUUAUUGAAUUCCAUAACCUAAAAAUCCUUACAUAAUUACGUCAUCAUGUCAGACCAGCCUCUUGAAGUGAAACCCCUACUCAAUGUCAGUGGUGGUGAAUUACAAUUACAAUUACUCCCAAUUACAUUACUCCACAAGUACAAUUAUGAAGAAAGUAUGGCAGCAGCUCUUCUUCCUUAGGAGUUUGCAUGACAUCUAAAACUUUGACAAACUUCCAUAGAUGUGUGGCAGAGAGUUUAUUGACUGGCAGCCUGGUAUGAAUUUAUUGAGUAUGCCCACAAGAAAAUGAAUCUCAGGGUUGUAUAUGGUGACGUAUAUUACAUUGAUAAUAAAUUUACUUUGAACACUGCACUUUUGAACCCAUGGCCUUACAAACCUCACUAUCUCAUUAUUUUGAUAAGAGUGGAUCUGUUUCUUCCCACUUCAUCCUCAAGACACCUCGCUCCAAAAACAAAUCUCAGAUUGAAUAUUCUAAGAGUGACAGUAUGCUAUCAUGGUGGCUAGUGGCAGUGGCCUCAGUUCAAUUCCCACUGCUGUCUCAAAGGAGUUUGUACAUUCUCCCCAUAACCGUGUGGGUUUCCUCUGGGUGUCCCAGUUUCCUUCCACAUUCCAAAGACGUUAGGAUUAGUGAGUUGCUGGCUGCCACUGGAAGUGUGGUGACACUUGCUGGCUGCCCAGCACAAUCCUCGUUGAUGUGAUUUGAUAUAAAUGAUGCAUUUCACUGUAUGUUUCAAUGUAUAUGUGACAAAUAAAUUUUAUCUCUUUA